CCCUUUUUGUAUUAUUUCACCUGGCUCCAAAUUGGUGGCUUUGUCUUCUAAAUGGAAUAUCUAUUUACAGGACUUUUCUGUGUAUGCCAGUCAUUAGAUGGAACUCUUCCACAUUUUCCCCCGUUUUUCUUUUUCUUUUUAAGUACUAUUAUAAGCGAAUAGUUUUCACUUUACCAGUUCUUUAAAUAACAUGAACUCUCACUUGUUAUGGCUAUAAUGUGGAUGGUUUGCUUUUUAUCAUAGAAUUUGGUCAGUCCACAAGGGCAAUAAUGAAUGUGUAAUGGUUUACUUAAAUUUUUGCAGUCCCUUCUCCGUCGAGUUCAAACUUUCGCUAGUCAUUACCUUUCAGUCAGAGCUGUCCAAAUUGCAUCCUAAAUCCGAUCCUAGAACUCCCAGACAGUGGCUGGCAAUGGAAAGUGUACCACUGGAAUUGGUUCGAACAAAGUGAUACCAUCUCCUCAAACUUCUCCUACCUGAAGAUCGGAAAAUCGGAUAAAAACUCUUGCACAUGAAUUUAGCCACAACACCUGUUCGAAUAGGACAAUGGCGAUUACUUUGAUGUGCAUUAGUUAUGCAAUUUGUCACUUUAAGCAAUGGGAUGAGAAUUAUUUAUUCCUUUUCAAUAUUGUGUUUGUAUAUCCUCAAACGUGUAACCUCUAUCUCUCACCAUUACCGGUAGCUGCAAGGCUUGAUGCUGAGAUUGGUAAAAAAAAAACCGAAGAAAAAGAAAAAUACAGAGAGACUAUUUAUAGGCUUACAUAUUAUGGUAAGCCCGUGACAAGUUCUUUCUUUAUCAUGUAAUGCUCCAGUAAACAAUAUGGAAAAAGAAGGUUUGCAAGAGAUGGAAUUGAACUCAUUUUAUCUUA